AUCAGUCUUUUCCCCAACAGAGUAACGCUUUAAUGGGGCAAAUUUGUUCUCUGCACGGGAAACAUGUGGGCCCUUGUCAGGUGCUGCAUCAGAGUGAGUUGCCCUCCACCAGCUUCCUAGAUCUGGCCGUGUGAGGAGGCAGAAGGAGCCCUCUGAGACUUUGGGGACAUCUCCCAUGGUGUGGCCCCAAUCCUGUCCAUCUGAUGGUUUGUCCACCACUGAGUCCUCCCCUCUAGAGGCUGGGAGUGCCCACAUGGCCAAGGAGAAACCUCAUCCAUCCCCCUGCUCCCUCUGCAGAGAGGCCCUGCAGUAAGAGAGUCCACAGGUCUCCCCCACACUGUAUGUACAGGCGGGUAUUCAAGGCAUUCUGUGUACCAGGCUUGUGUUGGAAGCGUGGGACACAAAGGCAGAGAAGACCUAGUCCCAGUCUCUGAGAGCUAAUGAGGUGUGCUAGAUGCAUUCACAGGCAAGAUCUUCUUAUGUUGUCCAGGCUGGUCUUGGACUCCUCAGCUCAAGCUAUCUUUCUGCCUUGGUUUCCAAAGUAGCUGGGACUAUAGGCAUGCAUUAACCUGAGUUUUG
rnacentral:lncRNA from 10 species